AAUGAACGCUGGCGGCAGGCCUAACACAUGCAAGUCGAACGGAUCCUUCGGGAUUAGUGGCGGACGGGUGAGUAACGCGUGGGAACAUACCCUUUGGUACGGAAUAGCCUCGGGAAACUGGGAGUAAUACCGUAUGUGGUCGAGAGACGAAAGAUUUAUCGCCAAAGGAUUGGCCCGCGUUGGAUUAGGUAGUUGGUGGGGUAAUGGCCUACCAAGCCGACGAUCCAUAGCUGGUUUGAGAGGAUGAUCAGCCACACUGGGACUGAGUCACGGCCCAGACUCCUACGGGAGGCAGCAGUGGGGAAUCUUAGACAAUGGGGGAAACCCUGAUCUAGCCAUGCCGCGUGAUCGAUGAAGGCCUUAAGGUUGUAAAGAUCUUUCAGGUGGGAAGAUAAUGACUGUACCACCAGAAGAAGCCCCGGCUAACUCCGUGCCAGCCGCCGCGGUAA
rnacentral:rRNA from 1 species